rnacentral:lncRNA from 1 species
UGGCAUAUCGUUAAAUAAAAAUAUGAAUUCUUUUUAGCAAAAUCAAAUGUUUGAAUUUUACAAGUAUUCAAUUUUUUUUUUACAAAUAUGUUUUAGAAAAAAUGUCUUGGAGCUUUUUGAUUAUCAGAUGAGUGGAAAUGGAGUCAGCUGUAAUAAAAAGAAAGGGUGAGUUUAGUGUACGUUUAUAGAUUGUUAAAACUUGAAGGUCAAACAAAAAAGAAUGAAGGUCUCGUGACUCGCCUUUUUUUCUUGUAAAAAGAUGUAUAGAUCAAAUGCAUGAGGUUUCCCCACAUGUGAAGAAUUGUUUCUAGAAUUAAAACGAAGCAGGAAGAUAUCGUAAUGAACAACUUGUACCUUGCUGAAUUUGCAAAAUCAUCUCUGCUACAAUGAAUUUGAAUGAGAUUAAUGACCUUCAAACAUUGCACACUUUCAACUUCUCCUCAAUGAGAUCAUCAAAUUUCCGUCCCCCGAUCGACAAAAAUGGAACCCUAGAGAGAAAAUUGAAGAGAGAAACGUAUCCUAAAACCAUCAGUAGGUUAAAUUAUACAUAAUUCCACCCCUUUUGAAGAACUUUAUCACAACUGACCAACUUACCAACUAAUCAAAAGUCAAAAGUCAAAACUCACUACAUGUCAAUGAAAUGGUGAUCAACAUGUAAAUCAUGAUUUUCUGUGUGUACGAGAGAGAUCGAGAAAGAGAUAGGUGGAGGGUAAUACGGGUUACCUGUGCCCACAAAUCCACAUCAUGGC